rnacentral:rRNA from 1 species
CACGGGGGUUGCGAGCGUUGUCCGGAAUUACUAGGCGUAAAGGGCAGGCAGGCGGAUCCAUAAGUUUAUCGUUUAAGGCGUCGGCUUAACCGGCGUAGGGCGGUAGAUACUGUGGAUCUGGAAUGCGGUUGGGGAAGACAGAAUUCCUGGUGUAGCGGUGGAAUGCGCAGAGAUCAGGAGGAAUACCGAAGGCGAAGGCAGUCUUCCAAGCCGUUAUUGACGCUCAACUGCGAAGGUGUGGGUAUCAAACAGGAUUAGAUAUCUGUGUAGUCCCU